UACGUAGGGGGCAAGCGUUGUCCGGAUUUAUUGGGCGUAAAGAGCGUGUAGGCGGUUAGGUAGGUCCGUUGUGAAAACUCGAGGCUCAACCUCGAGACGCCGAUGGAAACCAUCUGACUAGAGUCCGGAAGAGGAGACUGGAAUUCCUGGUGUAGCGGUGAAAUGCGCAGAUAUCAGGAGGAACACCGGUGGCGAAGGCGGGUCUCUGGGCAGUAACUGACGCUGAGGAGCGAAAGCGUGGGUAGCAAACGGG
rnacentral:rRNA from 1 species